CGGAGCAGGCGGGGUGAGGCGCUGCGGUCUGUGAGUCCUCUCCCGCCAAUGGGUGGACCGCGCUGGCGGCCGCGAGCUCGCAGAGCUGGUCAACAAUCUUGGAAGCCACACAUUGAAGCUGGAGGAGCUCCAAGGUAGAAGGACCCUGAGUUCCUGAAUUACUAUUUAGAACCCACCUUUAAGUAGAAACACUCAUGUACGGGAGCAAGAGGUAUGUUGCAUUGUACAAGAUGAAGUUAGAGUGUGAAGCAUGGAACAAAGUGCUUAUUGAGCCAGAAAAUACUGCCCAACCAGCUCUCAAGGCAAAGAGAGGGUGUACGAGAAACUAAUCUUCAAAUGAGAGGUGGAGACCCAGCUGGCAGCUAGCAUGGUGCGGCGUGUUGGAGGCAAGAAGCAGCAUCUCAGACUGGCAAGAUGCAAGGGCAGGCAGCCCACCCACAGGGAAGGCAUCGCCAAUCUUGAGCAACUCUAGAAGAGAAACCUGAACACAUCAGAACUCAAACUAACUGAUAAUGAACUGGUUUUCAUUACUUCCUGAGUGAUCAGGAGGUAGAAUUGUCUCUUACAACCCAAUGUAUACCAUUCUCAGUUGUCUAUUUAAGGAUUUCUUAGUGAGCUCCAUGGUAAAAUAUAUCUACUUCUUAAAAAAAAAAAGUAAAGAAUCUGCAACAACCUACUGAACUACUAAGUGGAUUUAGCAAGGCUGCAGGUUACAAAGUCAACAUACUUAUAUUUCUUAUAUACUAGCCACGAACAAUUAAAACAUUUUAUAAGUUUAUUUAUAACAACAUCAAACACACAAAAUACUUGGGAAUAAAUUAAAAUACAGAUACACUGAAAGCUACAAAAUAUUGCAGAGAAAAACAAAAGAAGGCCCCAAUACUAGAAAAGACAUACAAUGUUCAUACAUCUGGAUGAAGUUUGAAAAAUGCUAAUCUAAGUUAAUCUUCUUAUAGAUUAAGAGAAUAAGAUAUAGAGCUUUUAAAUGACUUGCCCAUCACUCAACUCAGCGAGGACAGGACUAGAGGUUUAAAGGAAGUGGAUAGAGGUGUAAAGGACGUGGGGAGAGUUUAGGUAUCCCUUGUAAGAAAGCAGAAACACAGGAAAGCAUUGCAGAGUGAUACUGAGGCCCAGCUGAGGUCAGAGGUUGUGGAUUUCUCAUAGCACCAGUGAGCUUGGCCAAGGGAUUUUCUCCAGUGGCAUCCAAGAGAGCAGAGAAGUUGAGUUUAGUAUUAAGCUGAAGUUUAGGGUCUCUAAAGAUGGGAACAGCAAAAUGAUAAGCCUGCUGGGAUGUUGAAGGCACAGCGGGAGAGUUGUUAGUGAUUCAUCUGAAGGGACAGGUUUGCUCUGAUAAAGAAUGAGGCCUUGAGGAGGGUUAGAAGGACUUGAGCUCCUGAUAGGGCCAAAGAGAAGGCAUGGAGAAGAAAGAGGAUGGGAAAACCAAAGCGAUCAACUAUUGUGGUCAGAGCUUCGUCUAAUAAAGAAUCCAUUAUUAUAACUGCUGUAUUUCCUAAAGCAAGAUUUUUGACGAUGACUAAAAUUUUAAAGGAUUUGAUGCAUAAUUCUAUCUACUUGAAGAAUAUAAUAAGAGCAAUCCUUUCUUUCUAUUCUAGUUAAUAGAUUUUUUUUUUUUUUUGCAAUGUAUGUUAAGUGGACCCAACUCAGAAGUACAAUGGAUAGGGGCUAAAAUCACAAGACCUGAAGUUAUGCUAUCUGGAGCUGUAUUUUUUAAUAAGUACUCACCUCUUGUUACUUAGAUCUCUUAUUUGUAAAUGGGUGUAAUGAUGGUACCUGCCUCAUAGGGUUACUGUGAAGUUCAAAUGAGUUAACACCAUUAAUGAUACCAGGCUUUGCAAUGUGUUUGAUUUAGAUGCUAAAGACUAUUUAUUGGUUCCAUAUUUCAAUAAUUCACUGAGGAGAAAAGUGAGGGAGGUAAACAUAGAAUCUGUGAAAUCAAAAUGCCUUUCUAGAGCAAGACAAUCAGGUUUCUAUAGUGAAACAAGACUCUUAAAAAUACGCUUACACCAGGCACAGUGGCUCAUCCCUGUAAUCCCAGCAAUUUGGGAGGUGGAGCAGGAGGAUCACUUGAGCCCGGGAAUUCGAUACCAGCCUGGGUAACAUAGUGAGACCCCAUCACUACAAAAAAAUAAAAAAAUUAGCCAAGUGUGGUUGUGUAUGCCUGUGGUCCCAGCUACUCAGAAGGCUGGGUUGGAAAGAUUGCUUGAGUCUGGGAGGUCCAGGCUGUAGUAAGCUGUGGUUGUGCCAUUGCACUCCAGCCUAGGUGACAGAGAGAGAUUCUGUCUCAAAAAGAUAAAAUAAAAUAUAUAUGCUUGGGCAUUUUUUUUAACCCUCAGACUUCAUUUCAAGGUUGAAAUUGCUUGAUACAAAUGUAACAGACAUUGUAGUUAAGCUCCCAUGUUUCUUGUACUCCCGAAUUCUUUCUGAUAAACCUGGCAUGAGAUUAGCUGGAGUCUGACUGACAUGUGAUUCUUGGGAACACAGGAUUCCUUGAUAUAUAAAAGACCUUUAGAUCAAUGGGUAGUUCUUAAUAUAUGCCUGCUAUUAUUAUUCUUAUCUGACUUAUACAUGAUCCCUUACUAGCAAUGAGAGAUUGUUUAUACAAAGAGGGAAGAGGGGUACUUUGGUUUCUUUAUUCUGUGUCUUUAUUAUUGAAUACUAAUGCAUACUGAAAAUAUUUAAAUAAAAAAUACAGUGUUUGCCUUC